GCGGACGUGGCGGAACUGGCAGACGCGCCAGAUUUAGGAUCUGGUACGACGAGUGUGGGGGUUCAAGUCCCUUCGUCCGCACCA
rnacentral:tRNA from 1 species